CAUACGAUGGAGAAAACGCAACAGCAAAGGGGAAAAACCCGAUCUAGUCUGUGCGUUGCUUCGCCUGCCGCCGUCCCCUGCGCUUCAUCUUCUUCCUCACCGAGCUCUCCUCAUCUCCUCUCCACCAUCGCCGAUGGCCUGCUCAAUGGGGACGCAGGAAGGUGCGCCGGCAAGGUCCACAGGAUGCGCCGUCGAUUCGCGCGGGUGGGGGCGGUGGAGUGCAGCGGCGAGGCAUGGUGGCGCGCGGGCCUGAUCAACGCGAGACACAGGAGGGUGUGGCGGAGUGGUCCACAGGGCGCGGCCGCGAUUCGCCCGUGGGGGUAGUGUAGCUAUUGGUCGACCAACCACGCUCCGCCUUGGCCCUGCCUACAAUAGUUGUUCACCUCUUGCACUCCUCUGCCGACCACUUCCACCCAAGACGUUUCCCAGGUUUGACUCUCUCCCUUUCUCCACAGAAGAUUUUUUGAUUAUUUGCUCCAGGUUCUCCAUCUCCUGCACAGAUGGUGUUUGAUGAUUUGCCCCAAAGAUUUGCUUUGAAGAAGACAUGUUGAACUAGGUUUCCCUCUGCAAGUAGGUACAGUGAGUUCAAGAUUUCCUGUGUUUUCUAUUCUUUGGUUAUUUUAUACUCCCUCCAUUUCACAAAGAAUGGCACGCACGCAUUUCAAAAUUUUGCUUUGACCAACAAUUAGACUAACUAUUAGACUAAUGAUUUGAGAUUUAUCUGUUACAAAAAUUAUAUCAUUGGAUUCCUAUUUUAAAAACCUUUCCAACGAUAUUAAAUUUGUAACAUAUAAUCUACAUGCAAUUGGUCUAAUCGUUGGUCAAAGUUCGACCUUGGAAAGCGUGGGCGUCAUUUUUUGUAAAAAGGAGGGAGUAUUGGCAAAGGUGUUAGUCAGUUUUUGUUUCAGGUCAUUUUGGUAGAUAAUGGUGGCAAAAUACAAAAAUCAGACAUGAGAUUGUUCCGGUGGGUAAGAAGGCAGCUCUGAAACUCUUUUGCUCCCUGUUCAUGUUGGGUGUGAACUAAGAACAAUUCAACAUUUAGUUUUUCUUCAUGAUACAGUGAAGUACAAAUUGUAAUUCAAAUGAUACAAUCAUAUAUAUCGUGUAUUGCUUUGUUCCAUCAGUUCGUUUGUUGUCGCGGGUCAUUAUGGUAGAUAAUGGUAACAAAAUACAAAAAUCAGAUAUGAGAUUGUUCCGGUGCAUACGAAGGUAAGAGGCAACUCUGAAGCUAUUUUGCUCCCUGUUCAUGUUGGUUGUGAACCAAGAACAAUUCAAUUUUUAGUUUUUCUUCAUAGUACAUACAGUGAAGUAGAAUUUUUUUUUACUGCAAGUAGAAAACUUAAUUGGAAUGAUACGAUCAUAUAUAUCGUGUACUGCUUUGUUCCAUCAGUGCGCUUGUUGUCGCAGGUAACAUAAAAGUGAGAAACCGCCAGGUAUUGUCUAUCAACCAAUCUGAACGUUGUUGCACUGCCAAGUAUUGACUUUCUUAUUUUACUCCAUCUUUUCAUCUUGGAUAUGUGCUAUUAUCUCAUGAGUUAUGACCUAAUGACCUACUCUUCUUAGAUAUAUACUAUUUUAUACUCAAAUAAUAUAUGCUCGAGGUGCACAACAAGGUGUUCUUCUGUGUUUUACCCGCUACCUUCCCGCAGUUGCUAAUUGGUUUAUAUCUGCAGGACAUGAAAGCUUUCAUAAGGUCAGAUUAUUUUUAUGAAAGACGUGUCAUACUGUAGCAUACUGUUCUCAUGUGUUAUUUACCACUCUUGUUGCAGUUGUUGUUUAUCACAUUUGUAGUAGAUCUGAAGAGCUAGCAGAUCAUUUCGGUUACAUAAUUCAUAUGGACAAAGAUGAAUUUGCUUGUUGUUUCGGAAUCACCUUGCAUUGCCAAUUGGUUUCAUUCACUACUUUGCUAAAAUAUAACGUAGUAAGCUGUCUUUCUUCUCUAUGGUUUCAAUCAUCUCCCAGAAAUAGUUAUAAUAAAAUUUUGCAGGUGACACCAAGAGCUGUUGAAACUUUUGAAGCAAAACACAUGCUUUGUUUGGUGGCGUUAAUUUCUGAACUAUAUAAGUGAUCUACUCUCUAUUAUCUAGAUGAAAAUUGCAGUUUAGUCACACGACUUAUUAUAUGGCAUAUAUACAGGUCACACAGUACCCGUACCGAGAGUUUGCACCAAAACACGCACGCGCGUCACGUGCGUUUCAACUUUCCUUCUACAUGGAUGCACGUGUGCCUGAUCCCUGGUCGGCGGCCCGGACCCAAAUGAUGCUGAGCUUGGUGAGGAAGUGGCACACAGCCACAUCCCCUGGCUUGACGCUGUGCAGCUCGAAGAACGGGUUCUUCGGGCUCCACUGCGACGUGUCGAGGUGGCACACGGCGAGAGCUUCCAUCUCUGCCGGCUGCGAGGCGGCUCCACCCUCCUCGCUGGGCUCCAGCUGCAGCGUCACCAUGUAGGCCGCCGUCGGGUUGGCUGUGUGGCAGUAGUACACGGCGUACGGGUACGUCAGGUCAUGGCAUGUCACGAUCUCCUCUGACUCGCCGGAGACUUUCCGCAAGGCGGUGACGUUGUACCUGCUGCGCAGCGCUGACGUGCCUGGGGCUUCGACUGGCAGAUUGGCAGCUGAGAACGCGCGGAUGUCCUGGGUCCCGAGAAGCGACGCCGGGACGUCCGCGAGGGACUCAAGGGAGGUGGCGCAGCGUGCGGCCUGGCCCGGGAGCGUUCGUGGGUGUUCGCAUGUGUCCAGUGUCCACCGGAUCUCCCUUCUCAUCGCGAGUGACGCCGGGGCGAACAUCGCAAUGAUGUCGGCGAGGCGUGAAGUGGAGAACGGGAUGGAGCUCGCAACGUGGCGGGGAAGGAACAUCGGCAGAGAGGUUGUCGGUGGGAUGGUCGGCGUGAUCAUGGAACCCGGCCGCAGCAUGUUGUGGAAGAAAAACACGUCUGCCUGCUGCUGCCUUCUGUUCCUGUGCGUGUGGGCGUCGACCUGAUGGUGGUGAUGGUGGCUUUCCCCUCCUGUUACUGCAACAGCACGUAAUGUUGAUCUAAACGCAUGGACGGAGUAACUGUGGAAGAGAGGCAUUUUGUUCAAAGAGAGGACGGGAGGGAGUGAGAUCUUAACCUGCAAGAGGUAUUAGCUGGUCGAGUAUGGCUUGGGGUAUGGGAGUAUCGGGAAGCACGCUUUGCCAAUACCCCACUGCAUUCUCGGAUUUCUUAGCUCUGCUUCCUCCGGCUCCAACAACCUGCAAUCACCAUUGAAAUUAGUGCAUUCAGUGGAACGUGGGUUAAAAUAAACUCCAUGCUCUAGACUCAUUUGCACGAUUAUUAGUGCAAUUCACGGAAUGUACGUACUCGGGUCGAUCAUGUCCAACUUGGGCAAGAAUAAACUAAUGCAAGGCACUUACCAGAA